rnacentral:rRNA from 1 species
UGGGGAAUUUUGGACAAUGGGCGAAAGCCUGAUCCAGCCAUGCCGCGUGAGUGACGAAGGCCUUAGGGUUGUAAAACUCUUUCGUCGGGGACGAUAAUGACGGUACCCGAAGAAGAAGCUCCGGCUAACUUCGUGCCAGCAGCCGCGGUAAUACGAAGGGAGCUAGCGUUGUUCGGAAUCACUGGGCGUAAAGCGCACGUAGGCGGAUAGUUAAGUCAGGGGUGAAAUCCUGGGGCUCAACCCCAGAACUGCCUUUGAUACUGGCUGUCUCGAGGUCGAGAGAGGUUGGUGGAAUUCCUAGUGUAGAGGUGAAAUUCGUAGAUAUUAGGAAGAACACCAGUGGCGAAGGCGGCCAACUGGCUCGAUACUGACGCUGAGGUGCGAAAGCGUGGGGAGCAAACAGGAUUAGAUACCCAUGUAGUCCCUGAGCGGGCUGGCAAGGCGCAU